UUCCUUCCUUCCUUCGUCUGUCGCAGUAUGAGGAUGUUUCCAAACUGCAUGGAGAACACUGUCAGGAUAGGAAUAAACCACAUCUGAAAAGAUCUAAGAUGGAGCUCUUUGGCCAGCAAAUUCUGGGACUGUACAUCCUACCCUCAUCUGCAGUAUCUCAAAUAUAUGGAAAAUUACUCCACAAAUUUGCACUGCUUCCUCCUACUAAGAGCUGAAUACUUUAAGCUCUCAAGCAUAACAGGACUUCAAAGGAUAUUGUCAUUACUACCAAGUAUCAAAAUCAGAAGGAAAAUGCAGGGUAAAAUGCCAUCCUUGAGGUCCUUGAUCCCUCCACAUGCAAGCAUCAUACUCUGCAAAAAUUGUGGUUCUACUUCUCUUCAUGUCUAAGUCUUUGAGGUGAGCCUAGGUGGCAAGGUGACCAGAAGCUGUCUGGAAUGAGGCAAGUUAAAAAAAUUUGAAGUAACAGAUCUGUGAUUUCUGCCUUCUCUGGACCUUGUGCUUAAUUUUAUAGUGAAACACUGAAUUGGUGUUUGUCAGUUGUUUGGUUUUUUCAAGAA